CAGUCGCCGCGGUAAUACGAAGGGGGCUAGCGUUGUUCGGAAUCACUGGGCGUAAAGGGUGCGUAGGCGGAUUCUUAAGUCAGGGGUGAAAUCCCGAGGCUCAACCUCGGAACUGCCUUUGAUACUGGGGAUCUUGAGUCCGGAAGAGGUGAGUGGAACUGCGAGUGUAGAGGUGAAAUUCGUAGAUAUUCGCAAGAACACCAGUGGCGAAGGCGGCUCACUGGUCCGGAACUGACGCUGAGGCACGACAGCGUGUGGAGCAAACAGGAUUAGAUACCCGUGUAGUCCCUGUCUCUUAUAC
rnacentral:rRNA from 1 species